GUCAAAAGUAAGGUCAAAAUUUUUAGUUCAUUAAAAAAAAAUGCGUGUUGUAAGGAAACGUAAGUCCCAUAAGGUUCAUAAAGUCAAAACUAUAACAAGAAAAAUAUUUAGAGCUGAAUUUACUUCCAUUAAAAGCUCCCGUGGUCGAACAGGGUUGGAGAUCUUACGUGAAGCUGAAAUGGAAGAAAAUCGCAAAAAAAGAAAAAAGAAAAAGGUUCGGUUUUGAAAAAAAUGGUAAGAACUAUAGAAAUAAGAUCCACAAGUUUUUAAGUGGUAUUUUGUGGAAGGGUGAGCUACGAACCACUUAAGCAGAACAUCACAACCAUACAAGCACAAAUAAAAGACACAUGACACAGCCUACAACCCGGUAGAGUUUCUGAGUCUGGAAGAAACUGCUACUGUGAAGUCUUAAACACUUGCUCGCCUCUAAUUGAAUCAUGUAAGAUUGCAAUAAAUGCUACACAAUUACUAAAAAGAAAGAUAAGUGCACAUUUCUACAAGACUUCAACGUAUAAAACAGAAAUCACAGAUCAUGAAAAUCUUUUGAAAUGUAACACACACUAAUACGAUUAGCAAUAAAAAUAAUUUAGAGGUGGAUUCGGAGAAGGCUAAAAUUCUCUAUAAGCAUGGAAAAAUCCACUUAGGAAAUAUGGUAAAUACAAACCAAACACAAACAGGUAUACAGAUAUACAGCACAGUGCGAGUUUAACCUCGCACCUGUUUAGCAACAUGGAGAGAAAUUCUUUAUGCUCAAUUACCAUAUCUUAUUAAAAUUAAAAUUAGAAAAGUGUUUGAAGACCCAACUAUAAAAAUUUGAUAUAUAAAUUGUUUUAAUUGAUUUGGGGACAGAAAAGAGAAAGUCGUCUCACUAUCAAAUCAGAUGCUGCAAGCAAAAUCGACCUGGAAAUGAUAUUACAAAAAGUCACGAGGUUGGAGUAUAUAAUUAUAAGCAACAUACCAAUUUUUAAGACUUGCAAAAUCUUCUCGAUGAAAUGGUUCUGAUACUGACAACUCACUCAAGUAAAUAGACCAUAUAUCGAGAAGAAUCUAUAAUAAAAUCCUUUCGGAGAGCGUUCACUUACUUUUUCACACACUCUACGAAAUAUGUGUAGUCCUGAAGCAAUCUAAAAAUUAAUUAUACUCAUAAGAAAUUAAAUGUGACUUAAAAUUAAAUUAAUUUCAAAUUUUAAUUUAAAUGUAGCUCUUUCGGGAAAUGUCGACACAAUCAAGUGCAGAACUGAUGAGUUGCCCAAUGGCUGAUGGGGUAACUAUUCUGACUUAGGUUCAAUUCUAAUUAAUAAGUAAACGAUCCAUAGCCUUUGGAUAACGUAAAAUAAAACCUAACAAAUCUGAAUUUAAUGGACACCAUCGAAAAAAUAAUCAAGCAGAAGUAAAAAAAAGGAAAACAUCGGAAUUAUAAAUAGAAAUUUCCUUAUAAAAUAUUUUUCGAUGAGGUUCGCAGAGUUAAUGAAUAUAUAACUGCAAUAUUGAUGACUGCUAGAGAAGCGGGAUGAGAACAUGACGACAAGUAGUGGAAGAUCCACCUGAAAAUGAAAUUAAUAACUUAUUAAAUGAAGAAUUAAAUGAAGAUAUUUAUAACAGGUUCAAUGUAUUUCUUCCAAUUCUUUGGUAGAGUGUUAACUGUUGCAGAAUUCAAAAAAUCGAAAUCAAUUAAUUUUUUCCAUUUCGUUUAUGGAAUGUAGUAUGCCUUUAAGUAGUGAAAGUAAUCCACCGUUUCCAACUUAAAAUGUAUCAAAUUACUUAAAUUAAAGAAUACAUAAGGUAUAUUUAAACAACCUAAUCUCCAAGAGAGAUAGUUCUGGACACUAUCAGGAAAAAGUACACAUUUAAUAUAUUCAAAUAUACUUAGAGAUCAGGAAUGUAAUAACAUUUACUUCUACUUUAAGGAUAAAGUUGGGAUUGCUGCUGUUCUUAGAAAUAUACUAGAAAUGUUUGACCUGCGAAUAAUGGCAAGACAAAGUUAUUAGGCAGAAGUCGAGACAUGUGUCACAAAGAAAGUUUAAAACAACAUUUUAUGAAAUUCGACGGUGCCAGUAAAAAACUCAACGUCUUAGAGUUCACAAAAUGAAUUAACCGGGUUUCCAAUCACACAAAUGUACCAUAUGGUCGUACACAAUAUCAGAUUUUCUUAGUGUGGCUGGGUGUUUUCUAUUUGCUAGUGCUAUAGCCCAGUAUAGUCCAAGGCAUUGAAGAGAAACUUGUAAUAUGUAUGAAAAUUGGAAUAGUGACAAAAACCGUAAGCCCAGUAUUUUCAACAAUCUUCAUAUGUUAAAAAAUGAGGAAAG